rnacentral:snoRNA from 1 species
CAUUCUUAGUUUGUUUAGAGUCUGAAAAACUCAAAUAUUUUUGUGUUGUCAUCAGCUUCAUCUCUUGUUUGACCCCACGAGUUAGGAGUUAAAUAACAGCACUACAUGU